GACGAACCGAGCGACCGUUGUUCGGAAUCACUGGGCUUAAAGGGCGCGUAGGCGGCCGGGUUGGUCGUGGGUGAAAUCCCCCAGCUUAACUGGGGAAUUGCCUACGAUACUGCCUGGCUCGAGGGAGGAAGGGGCGGCCGGAACUGUCGGUGGAGCGGUGAAAUGCGUUGAGAUCGACAGGAACGCCGGUGGCGAAAGCGACUGUCUGGGGUGCCUGUGACGCUGAGGCGCGAAAGCCAGGGGAUCAAACGGG
rnacentral:rRNA from 1 species